rnacentral:rRNA from 1 species
UACAACAUAGCGUUAAUUCAUCGGAUCCCAUUAGAACUCCGCAAUUAAGAUUUCUUAGGCUAGAGUAGUACUGGGAUGGGCAACCACCCGAAAAGUAAUAGUGUUUUAC